rnacentral:RNase_P_RNA from 1 species
GGCGGAGACCUUUCUAAAUAAGCUUUAUGCUUAAAUGAGUAAUUCUCUGUAAAGUGCCACAGAGACGAGCUCUAUAGAAAUAUAGAGAGUGAAACGCGG